UUAAACUAACUGAACCCACGAAAGCUAGGGCACAAACUGGGAUUAGAUACCCCACUAUGCCUAGCCCUAAACAUUGAUGAUAACUUACAAUUAUUAUCCGCCUGGGAACUACGAGCACCAGCUUAAAACCCAAAGGACUUGGCGGUGCUUUAGACCCACCUAGAGGAGCCUGUUCUAGAACCGAUAACCCCCGUUCAACCUCACCCUUCCUUGUUCCUCCCGCCUAUAUACCACCGUCGUCAGCUUACCCUGUGAAGGGCUAAUAGUAAGCAAAACUGGCAAAGCCCAAAACGUCAGGUCGAGGUGUAGCGCAUGGAAGGGGAAGAAAUGGGCUACAUUCACUAACCCAGUGCACACGAAUGACACCCUGAAACACGUGUCUGAAGGAGGAUUUAGCAGUAAGUAGAAAAUAGAGUGUUCUGCUGAAACUGGCCCUGAAGCGCGCACACACCGCCCGUCACUCUCCCCGA
rnacentral:rRNA from 1 species